UAUAAAUUAGUGUAUGAUGCACAUAAAUUUUUGAUAUUUACAGACAAGUUUAACCCUUGAAUUUAUAA
rnacentral:tRNA from 1 species